GAUGAAGAACGUAGCGAAAUGCGAUAAGUAAUGUGAAUUGCAGAAUUCAGUGAAUCAUCGAAUCUUUGAACGCACAUUGCGCCCUCUGGUAUUCCGGGGGGCAUGCCUGUUCGAGCGUCAUUAUAACCACUCAAGCUCUCGCUUGGUAUUGGGGUUCGCGGUUUCGCGGCCCCUAAAAUCAGUGGCGGUGCCUGUCGACUCUACGCGUAGUAAUACUUCUCGCGAUUGAGUUCGAUAGGUCUACUUGCCAGUAACCCCCAAUUUUUACAGGUUGACCUCGGAUCAGGUAGGGAUACCCGCUGAACUUAAGCAUAUCAAUAAGCGGAGGA
rnacentral:misc_RNA from 1 species